UGAGGAAUAUUGGUCAAUGGUCGGGAGACUGAACCAGCCAAGCCGCGUGAGGGAAGAAGGUACAGAGUAUCGUAAACCUCUUUUGUCAGGGAACAAAAGGCGCCACGUGUGGCGCUCCGAGUGUACCUGAAGAAAAGCAUCGGCUAACUCCGUGCCAGCAGCCGCGGUAAUACGGAGGAUGCGAGCGUUAUCCGGAUUUACUGGGUGUAAAGGGAGCGUAGACGGCGAUGCAAGCCAGAUGUGAAAGCCCGCGGCUCAACUGCGGGACUGCAUUUGGAACUGUAUGGCUGGAGUGCAGGAGAGGCAGGCGGAAUUCCUAGUGUAGCGGUGAAAUGCGUAGAUAUUAGGAGGAACACCAGUGGCGAAGGCGGCCUGCUGGACUGUAACUGACGUUGAGGCUCGAAGGCGUGGGGGAGCAAACAGGAUUAGAUACCC
rnacentral:rRNA from 1 species